UUUCCGUAGGUGAACCUGCGGAAGGAUCAUUAUUGAAUGAAACACUUCUGGCUUUAUGCUGUUGUGCUGCCCUUUGGGCAAUGUGCACACGGCUCUGGUCACUUGUUUCUUCUGUUCCACCUGUGCACUGCCUGUAGACACGCUGUGUCUAUGAUAUUUGUUAACACACAACAAUGUUAGUUGGCAUGUUAUAUAUAAUAAUAAAAUAUACAACUUUCAACAACGGAUCUCUUGGCUCUC
rnacentral:misc_RNA from 1 species